rnacentral:rRNA from 1 species
UGGGGAAUAUUGGACAAUGGGCGCAAGCCUGAUCCAGCCAUGCCGCGUGAGUGAUGAAGGCCCUAGGGUUGUAAAGCUCUUUGUGCGGGAAGAUAAUGACGGUACCGCAAGAAUAAGCCCCGGCUAACUUCGUGCCAGCAGCCGCGGUAAUACGAAGGGGGCUAGCGUUGCUCGGAAUCACUGGGCGUAAAGGGUGCGUAGGCGGGUCUUUAAGUCAGGGGUGAAAUCCUGGAGCUCAACUCCAGAACUGCCUUUGAUACUGAAGAUCUUGAGUUCGGGAGAGGUGAGUGGAACUGCGAGUGUAGAGGUGAAAUUCGUAGAUAUUCGCAAGAACACCAGUGGCGAAGGCGGCUCACUGGCCCGAUACUGACGCUGAGGCACGAAAGCGUGGGGAGC